AGAAUCUCGAUUUGUGAGGUUGUCCAAAUCUUGUUAGUCUUCCAAAAUCCAAAUAUCGUUAAGUAGGAUCCUCUUUUGAUCAAGGUUACGUGGCAUCGUAUUAUUUGUUCAAAGUGGGGGCCAUGCGAGCGAGCGGCUAGUGGAUACUCUCCUCGAUGUCUUCACGAGAUUUAUUUCAAUUUGUUUCGAUGUGGUGAUAG